GGGGCGUUAGCUCAGUUGGCUAGAGCGCCGUGCUCACACCGCGGAGGUCACUGGUUCGAGUCCAGUACGCCCCACCA
rnacentral:tRNA from 2 species